GGGAGUGUGGCUUAGUGGUAGAGUACUUGCCUAGCAUGCAUGAAGCUCUGAGUUCAAUUCCCCAGUACCCA
rnacentral:tRNA from 1 species